rnacentral:piRNA from 1 species
GAGGGUUUUCUUUAUAUUUUUCUGAUACAA